rnacentral:snRNA from 1 species
UUGAAAACUUUUCCCAAUACCCCGCCAUGACGACUUGAAAUAUAGUCGGCAUUGGCAAUUUUUGACAGUCUCUACGGAGA